rnacentral:rRNA from 1 species
AUUGAACGCUGGCGGCAUGCCUUACACAUGCAAGUCGAACGGUAACGGGCCUUCGGGUGCCGACGAGUGGCGAACGGGUGAGUAAUGCAUCGGAACGUACCUUUCAGUGGGGGAUAACGUAGCGAAAGUUACGCUAAUACCGCAUAUUCUGUGAGCAGGAAAGCAGGGGAUCGCAAGACCUUGCGCUGAUUGAGCGGCCGAUGUCAGAUUAGCUAGUUGGUGAGGUAAAGGCUCACCAAGGCGACGAUCUGUAGCGGGUCUGAGAGGAUGAUCCGCCACACUGGAACUGAGACACGGUCCAGACUCCUACGGGAGGCAGCAGUGGGGAAUUUUGGACAAUGGGCGCAAGCCUGAUCCAGCCAUGCCGCGUGAGUGAAGAA